CACGCAGGCGGUCUGUCAAGUCGGAUGUGAAAUCCCCGGGCUCAACCUGGGAACUGCAUUCGAAACUGGCAGGCUAGAGUCUUGUAGAGGGGGUAGAAUUCCAGGUGUAGCGGUGAAAUGCGUAGAGAUCUGGAGGAAUACCGGUGGCGAAGGCGGCCCCCUGGACAAAGACUGACGCUCAGAUGCGAAAGCGUGGGGAGCAAACA
rnacentral:rRNA from 1 species